GUGAACGCUGGCGGUAGGCCUAACACAUGCAAGUCGAACGGCAGCACCGUAAGAGCUUGCUCUUACGGGUGGCGAGUGGCGGACGGGUGAGGAAUACAUCGGAAUCUACUUUUUCGUGGGGGAUAACGUAGGGAAACUUACGCUAAUACCGCAUACGACCUACGGGUGAAAGCAGGGGAUCUUCGGACCUUGCGCGAUUGAAUGAGCCGAUGUCGGAUUAGCUAGUUGGCGGGGUAAAGGCCCACCAAGGCGACGAUCCGUAGCUGGUCUGAGAGGAUGAUCAGCCACACUGGAACUGAGACACGGUCCAGACUCCUACGGGAGGCAGCAGUGGGGAAUAUUGGACAAUGGGCGCAAGCCUGAUCCAGCCAUACCGCGUGGGUGAAGAAGGCCUUCGGGUUGUAAAGCCCUUUUGUUGGGAAAGAAAAGCAGCAGGUUAAUACCCCGCUGUUCUGACGGUACCCAAAGAAUAAGCACCGGCUAACUUCGU
rnacentral:rRNA from 1 species